GUACUUGACUUUUACCAUUUUCCCACAAAUUUGUCUGCUAAAAGAACAGGAGGCGAUCGAUACUUUCUUUCCACCUCAAAACUUCAAGCAUGAGCCCCUGGUCGUCUGUUGCUCCAGAAGGUGCCUCGACAACACUAAUGUCUCAUUACCAUGGCAGAUGGAUAAACGAAGCCCCACGUAUUCCAUCUAAAUCAUCUUUGAAAUUUAGUACCGCAGGGAUAUCCUUUUCUGAAAGGCAAUGAAGUUGAGGAGUUCCAAAUGCCAAGCUCAAGGAACAGAACUAGUGGAUGGGUGUAAGCAGGAUCUGUCCUACUCAAUGGGUAGAGAAAUGAGCUGUUUGACUACUGCAGGAGGCUAAAACUGACUGGGGAAAACCUUUCUCUUUGGUCAUCUACGCAACAAGGCAAUACCUCCUGAUGCUGA